UCGUUCUCACUAAAGGAUCCUCGUUCAGCAAGUCUGGGGUCAGCUUCCUGAACCUGCAUCUGUAAUUUGUAUUUCAGGUGAUUGUUGGGCAGGUGAUCUGCAUCUGCAACUUGGAAAAACAUUUCUUGGAAUGUUUACUGCUUUGUCCCUGCUCAGAAGAUUCAAACCGUUACAUCCGACUCCGGUGGACUCUUCGUCUGAUACCUGAAAGGAGUAUUGUGCAUUUUGUGUAGUGCACUGAUAGCUGGAAACAAUCAGGUCCCUAUUAGCCAAUUCCACCUGGCAAGAUGCAGCCUGUUGCCCAAGCUCUGGGACCUUUUUAAUCCAGACAUGUAGUGCAUACCAUUUGAACAUCAGAACAGUCUUGCUUCUUCCCCAGCUGUCUCCUUGUUUCUGCUGAGUGGAGCAGGGGACAUGGAUGGUGGGGGACAUGGCUGAGGGAGAGAAGACUUGGGAAGAAAUGCAGCCUGCUCAUUAAUAAUCUUAGGACGCUUUUCUUACCAUGAAGGAGAAAGCCACUUAACAAUUAAGAUUUGCUCUUUGUUUUCAAAAAUGCUUUUAGAUUCCUUGUUUACCUAAAAUUCAGGUCAAAAACUAAAGAAGACCAUUG
rnacentral:lncRNA from 1 species